AGCGAACGCUGGCGGCAGGCCUAACACAUGCAAGUCGAACGAACUCUUCGGAGUUAGUGGCGGACGGGUGAGUAGCACGUGGGAACGUGCCUUUUGGUUCGGAAUAACUCAGGGAAACUUGUGCUAAUACCGAAUGUGCCCUUCGGGGGAAAGAUUUAUCGCCAUUAGAGCGGCCCGCGUCUGAUUAGUUAGUUGGUGAGGUAACGGCUCACCAAGGCGACGAUCAGUAGCUGGUCUGAGAGGAUGACCAGCCACACUGGGACUGAGACACGGCCCAGACUCCUACGGGAGGCAGCAGUGGGGAAUCUUGCGCAAUGGGCGAAAGCCUGACGCAGCCAUGCCGCGUGAAUGAUGAAGGUCUUAGGAUUGUAAAAUUCUUUCACCGGGGACGAUAAUGACGGUACCCGGAGAAGAAGCCCCGGCUAACUUCGUG
rnacentral:rRNA from 1 species